GGGUGCGAUCAUACCAGCGUUAAUGCACAGGAUCCCAUCAGAACUCUGCAGUUAAGCGCGCUUGGGCUAGAGUAGUACUGGGAUGGGAGACCUCCUGGGAAGUCCUAUUGUUGCAUCCU
rnacentral:rRNA from 1 species